GCUAUCCUCGACAACGAAAAAGGAAACCAUGCUUCAAAUAUGAAGAAGAGAAUUCCGAGAAUAACAAACGCAAUCAUCACUCGUCUCAAUCCAAGAAGAAGUGUUCGCCAUCUUCAUAUGAGAAUACAGCUUCAAAAGAAAUAAGUCCUCC